CCUUCGAUAGCUCAGCUGGUAGAGCGGAGGACUGUAGAUCCGACACGUGUGGUAUCCUUAGGUCGCUGGUUCGAUUCCGGCUCGAAGGA
rnacentral:tRNA from 1 species